UACGGGGGGGGCAAGCGUUGUUCGGAAUUACUGGGCGUAAAGGGCUCGUAGGUGGCCAAUUAAGUCAGACGUGAAAUCCCCAGGCUUAACCUGGGAACUGCGCUUGUUACUGGCAGGCUGGAGUGUGGCAGAGGGGGGUGGAAUUCCACGUGUAGCAGUGAAAUGCGUAGAGAUGUGGAGGAACACCGAUGGCGAAGGCAGCCCCCUGGGCUAACACUGACGCUCAUGCACGAAAGCGUGGGGAGCAAACAGG
rnacentral:rRNA from 1 species